rfam:Schistosoma mansoni, Puerto Rico, WGS project CABG01000000 data, contig: 0136
GCACUGCAGAGGAGUCCCACAAUAGGGCGAAACGACCUUCUAGUGC